GAAAAGGUUGAAUAUUCUGACCAUUCUUCUGCAAUAGUGAUGUUUUCGGGGUUUCCUGGAAAUUGCUGGGUCUAAAUGUUCUCAGCGCAUGUCUCUAUCUUGUUGUAUUGCUGUUUGUUUCCUCUGCGUACCUUUUCUUUUGGGGCCCUUGGAAUGAAUUCCCUUUCUGACCCAACAAAGGAAGAAUUAAAUGGUGGGGACUAAAAUGACUACAUCAUGCCAAACUCUUGCAACAAAACCAUAUCUUUUGGCCGAUAAUGUUGAUCCAAUGAUAAGUACAUCAUCCAAAGUAAAAUAAAAAUGUUCGUGCUGUUAGGAAAUUACGCAGAUUUCCCUAUAAACCAGAUUAGUGAGAAUGCGAAAUAACAGAAGAAAUAAGACACACAGAUUUGAUAACGGAGUUCAGCCAAUUGUGCCUACGUCUCCGGACCUGCUGCAGAUCAUUUUACUAAAGGGAGAAAAUAUACAAAGUGUUUACAACACUCACAACUCACAACCCACCCCGAAUUAUACUAAGAAUUUUUCUCACAAAAUUCUUUCACAAGCUUUGCUCUUAAGCUUUUCUCUCAAACUCUCUCUUAUUC
rnacentral:lncRNA from 1 species